rnacentral:rRNA from 1 species
AGUGAACGAUGGCGGCAGGCCUAACACAUGCAAGUCGAACGGCAGCACAAGAGAGCUUGCUCUCUGGGUGGCGAGUGGCGGACGGGUGAGGAAUGCAUCGGAAUCUGCCCAUUUGUGGGGGAUAACCUCGGGAAACCGGGACUAAUACCGCAUACGACCUACGGGUGAAAGCAGGGGAUCUUCGGACCUUGCGCAGAUGGAUGAGCCGAUGCCGGAUUAGCUAGUUGGAGGGGUAAAGGCCCACCAAGGCGACGAUCCGUAGCUGGUCUGAGAGGAUGAUCAGCCACACUGGGACUGAGACACGGCCCAGACUCCUACGGGAGGCAGCAGUGGGGAAUAUUGGACAAUGGGCGCAAGCCUGAUCCAGCCAUGCCGCGUGUGUGAAGAAGGCCUUCGGGUUGUAAAGCACUUUUGUUGGGAAAGAAAAGCAGCCGGUUAAUACCCGGUUGUCAUGACGGUACCCAAAGAAUAAGCACCGGCUAACUUCGUG